rnacentral:rRNA from 1 species
AAGGAUAUGCUUAGCUUGACAAAUGGAGCUAUUGGCUUUGAAUUGUAUUGUGGAAAUGUAUUACCAACAGAGGUGCAGGUGCCAGCCUAUUGAAAUAAAGCGUCAAUGAGGGUGAGAAUCCUGUUUGUCAUGUGCAGCCCUUUGUGCACGGUGUAUAUUUGCUGAGUCACACUCCUUGGCAUUGGAAUGCAAAGUGGGUGGUAAGUUUCAUGUAAAGGUAAACAUGCAAUUGAGACUGAUAGCACACAAGUACCAUGAGGGAAAUAUGAAAAGGACUUUGAAAAGAGAAUUAAAUGAGUUUGUAUUUGCUGAACACAAAGUAAACAGACUUGAUUUGCUUGGUGGGAGUGUUGCACUUGCUUGACAAGAGCUUUGGGCUGUGGGUGUAAUGAUUCUUUCUUUGCAUGCCAGUUUCUAUUUGUACAUCUGAUUACCUUUGCACAUGAAUGAUAAGUCUCCUGUGGGGGGUGGAUUGCAUGUGCAUGUAAUGAUUUGUGUUUUGAUAAAUGUGUCUGGUGUAUGUGUGUGUUCCUGUGCUUGGGGAUGCUUCCUUCCUUGGACUUACAAGCCCUGACACACACAUGCUGGCAAAAUGCUUCUGCUUGACCCGUCUUGAAACACGGACCAAGGAGUCUAACAGAUGUGCAAAGUUUGAAGGUGGUAUACCUUUGUGUGCAAUGAAAGUGUCAGCUGGGAUAUGUGCACCAGCACCCAAUUAAUUAGCGGACAGAGGUUUGAGUUGGAGCAUAUCUAUUAGGACCCGAAAGAUGGUGAACUAUGCCUGAACAGAAUGAAUUCAGAGGAAACUCUGAUGGAGGUUCGUAUCGAUACUGACGUGCAAAUCGUUCGUCAUAUUUGGGUAUAGGGGCGAAAGACUAAUCGAACCAUCUAGUAGCUGGUUCCCUCCGAAGUUUCCCUCAGGAUAGCUGGAGUUGCUCAGUUUUAUCAGGUAAAGCGAAUGAUUAGAGGAAUUGGGGACAGGUUUGUCUUUGACCUAUUCUCAACUUUAA